rnacentral:rRNA from 1 species
AUGAACGCUAGCGACAGGCUUAACACAUGCAAGUCGAGGGGCAGCACAGGUAGCAAUACCGGGUGGCGACCGGCGCACGGGUGAGUAACGCGUAUGCAACUUGCCUAUCAGAGGGGGAUAACCCGGCGAAAGUCGGACUAAUACCGCAUGAAGCAGGGGCCCCGCAUGGGGAUAUUUGCUAAAGAUUCAUCGCUGAUAGAUAGGCAUGCGUUCCAUUAGGCAGUUGGCGGGGUAACGGCCCACCAAACCGACGAUGGAUAGGGGUUCUGAGAGGAAGGUCCCCCACAUUGGUACUGAGACACGGACCAAACUCCUACGGGAGGCAGCAGUGAGGAAUAUUGGUCAAUGGGCGUAAGCCUGAACCAGCCAAGUCGCGUGAGGGAUGAAGGUUCUAUGGAUCGUAAACCUCUUUUAUAAGGGAAUAAAGUGCGGGACGUGUCCCGUUUUGUAUGUACCUUAUGAAUAAGGAUCGGCUAACUCCGUGCCAGCAGCCGCGGUAAUACGGAGGAUCCGAGCGUUAUCCGGAUUUAUUGGGUUUAAAGGGUGCGUAGGCGGCCUUUUAAGUCAGCGGUGAAAGUCUGUGGCUCAACCAUAGAAUUGCCGUUGAAACUGGGGGGCUUGAGUAUGUUUGAGGCAGGCGGAAUGCGUGGUGUAGCGGUGAAAUGCAUAGAUAUCACGCAGAACCCCGAUUGCGAAGGCAGCCUGCCAAGCCAUUACUGACGCUGAUGCACGAAAGCGUGGGGAUCAAACAGGAUUAGAUACCCUGGUAGUCCACGCAGUAAACGAUGAUCACUAGCUGUUUGCGAUACACUGUAAGCGGCACAGCGAAAGCGUUAAGUGAUCCACCUGGGGAGUACGCCGGCAACGGUGAAACUCAAAGGAAUUGACGGGGGCCCGCACAAGCGGAGGAACAUGUGGUUUAAUUCGAUGAUACGCGAGGAACCUUACCCGGGUUUGAACGCAUUCGGACCGAGGUGGAAACACCUUUUCUAGCAAUAGCCGUUUGCGAGGUGCUGCAUGGUUGUCGUCAGCUCGUGCCGUGAGGUGUCGGCUUAAGUGCCAUAACGAGCGCAACCCUUGCCACUAGUUACUAACAGGUAAAGCUGAGGACUCUGGUGGGACUGCCAGCGUAAGCUGCGAGGAAGGCGGGGAUGACGUCAAAUCAGCACGGCCCUUACAUCCGGGGCGACACACGUGUUACAAUGGCGUGGACAAAGGGAAGCCACCUGGCGACAGGGAGCGAAUCCCCAAACCACGUCUCAGUUCGGAUCGGAGUCUGCAACCCGACUCCGUGAAGCUGGAUUCGCUAGUAAUCGCGCAUCAGCCAUGGUGCGGUGAAUACGUUCCCGGGCCUUGUACACACUGCCCGUCAAGCCAUGGGAGCCGGGGGUACCUGAAGUCCGUAACCGCGAGGAUCGGCCUAGGGUAAAACUGGUGACUGGGGCU